CUUAGGGGCUUAAAGCAGUGUAUAAUCUGAGACUCCUGUCCCAGCCUCCCUAGUGUUAGGAUCAUGGACAGGAGUCUCAGAUUAUACACUAAAUGCAGCAGACCUAUAAUUAGGUUAGCAGAGAUGCUGGCCCCACCAGGUCUUGUGCACACCGGGAAUCUGUCUUAGCUAAACCCUGUGCACAGGAAGAAUGUCUAAAGUUUCUCCUUCUCUGUAACCUUUCACUUUCCUGGUCUGAAAGUUCUUCCUCUCGAUUGUCACACGUUUCUUUAGCCAUAACAUGCACAUCAUAUUCACAGCCAAAGAAAGCCUUAGUACUUUUGGGGGGAAUGGAGAAUCCAGAGUCACCAAGGCCCCCAAUCAACUGCCAGGGUGUCCUUGUUCUUGCUUGUUCUUCCAUUUCCUGGGUUCUGCCCCGUGCCCACACCAUAGCUUUAUUUUUUUUUUAAAGUGUGUGUGUGUGCUUGUGCGUGCAUGCAUGCGUGCGUGUAUGUGUGUGCCACUUAUAUGAGUUUGGUUUUGAAGACCAGAAGAG
rnacentral:lncRNA from 1 species